rnacentral:rRNA from 1 species
UCCUACGGGGGGCUGCAGUAAGGGAUAUUGCGACAAUGGGCGAGAGCCUGACGCAGCAACGCCGCGUGCGGGAUGACGGCCUUCGGGUUGUAAACCGCUUUUCAGGAGGAAGAGGAAGGACGGUACUCCUGGAAUAAGUCUCGGCUAACUACGUGCCAGCAGCCGCGGUAAAACGUAGGAGGCGAGCGUUAUCCGGAUUUACUGGGUGUAAAGCGCGUGCAGGCGGUCUUGUAAGUGGUGCGGGAAAGCGCCCGGCUCAACCGGGCGAGGCCGUGCCAGACUGCGAGGCUGGAGGCAGGUAGAGGCGGGUGGAAUUCCGGGUGUAGUGGUGAAAUGCGUAGAGAUCCGGAGGAACACCAGUGGCGAAGGCGACCCGCUGGGCCUGGCCUGACGCUCAGACGCGAAAGCAUGGGGAGCGAACGGGAUUAGAUACCCCAGUAGUC